rnacentral:rRNA from 1 species
AUUGAACGCUGGCGGCAGGCCUAACACAUGCAAGUCGAGCGGUAACACAGAGGAGCUUGCUCCUUGGGUGACGAGCGGCGGACGGGUGAGUAAUGCCUGGGGAUCUGCCCGAUAGAGGGGGAUAACUACGGGAAACUGUAGCUAAUACCGCAUAAUGUCUACGGACCAAAGUGGGGGAUCUUCGGACCUCAUGCUAUCGGAUGAACCCAGGUGGGAUUAGCUAGUUGGUGAGGUAAUGGCUCACCAAGGCGACGAUCUCUAACUGGUUUGAGAGAAUGACCAGUCACACUGGAACUGAGACACGGUCCAGACUCCUACGGGAGGCAGCAGUGGGGAAUAUUGCACAAUGGGCGCAAGCCUGAUGCAGCCAUGCCGCGUGUGUGAAGAAGGCCUUCGGGUUGUAAAGCACUUUCAGCGGGGAGGAAGGGUCACUAGUUAAUACCUAGUGGCAUUGACGUUACUCGCAGAAGAAGCACCGGCUAACUCCGUGCCAGCAGCCGCGGUAAUACGGAGGGUGCAAGCGUUAAUCGGAAUUACUGGGCGUAAAGCGCACGCAGGCGGUUUGUUAAGUCANAUGUGAAAUCCCCGAGCUCAACUUGGGAACUGCNUUUGAAACUGGCAAGCUAGAGUCUUGUAGAGGGGGGUAGAAUUCC